rnacentral:lncRNA from 1 species
UUCUCAAGCCUAUCCACAUUGCGAAGAAAUGAGAAAGCUUGUUUGGAAGAGAACAUUAAAGGUGUGGUUGAACAACCAUUUGAUAACAUUAGUGUGGGUGUGAACUACAGAUUUAAUCAGCCACCUGAGCAGAAGCCAAGAAUAGAGAUGGGAUUGUACCAGCAGAGAUACUGUCAGCCAGGACUAAAGGGGACAGGAAAAAUCAGAAUGGAAUGAAAGAAGGCUGUAGGACUUCUCAGAUUCUACAGAAACAGACAACAGAGCUAUCUGGCUGUGAGCAUGAGCUACCCUUUUAAAAAGUGAAGAAUGGCCCCAAAAGUGAUUCAAAUACUGUCCGUGAACCACAGCCUGCCAUUCUCACCACAGGCCUAAGAGGCUGAGGCCCAGUGCCAUAAGGGUGACAGUGCAAGUGGGCCUGGAGGGCAUAGCAUCAAACCAAAAAGAAUAAUUCUAGAGCCUUAAGACCUAAUGGGAUUUGCCUUGCCAGGUUUGGGGACUUGCUUGGGACUUGUCAUCCUUUUUUUCUUUCUUGUUUCUCCUUUCUGAGAUGGCAUGUCUUUCCUAUGCCCGUCCCAUCAUUGUGUUUUGGAAGAGCAUAUUGUCUGGUUUCACAGGUUCACAGCUGGAGAGGAAUUUUGCCUCAGAAUGAAUGGUACCAAAAGUCUCGGCCAUACCUGAUUUAUGCUUACAUUAGGCUUUGGAUUUUAGACUUUAGAGUUGAUACUUAAACAAGUUAAGACUUUUAGUGUGGUUGGGAUGGAAGAGAAUAUAUCUACAUGUGACAAGAACACAGAUUUUGGCAGGCCACGGACAGUAUGUUACAGAUUGAACGCAUGUGCC